rnacentral:rRNA from 1 species
AUUGAACGAUGGCGGCAGGCCUAACACAUGUAAGUCGAACGAGGGGCGGACGGGAGAGGAAUCUCGGGGAAACUGCCUGAUGGAGGGGGAUAACUACUGGAAACGGUAGAUAACACCGCAAACCAUCAGAUGUGCCAAGGUGGGAUUAGCUAGUAGGUGGGGUAAUGGCACACCGAGGCGACGAUCCCGAGCUGGUCAGAGAGGAUGACCAGCCACACUGUAACUGAGACACGGUCCAGACUCCUACGGGAGGCAGCAGUGGGGAAUAUUGCACAAUUGGCGCAAGCCUGAUGCAGCCCUGCCGCGUGUAUGAAGAAGGCCUUCGGGUUGUAAAGCACUUUCAGCGAGGAGGCGUUACUCGCAGAAGAAGCACCGGCUAACUCCGUGCCAGCAGCCGCGGUAAUUC